rnacentral:misc_RNA from 1 species
AGUCAUGGUUUCAAAGAGGUAUAUAUGAUUAUGAUAAUGAUAAUCUUAAUUUUCUCAUUCUUUUGGUAAGCUUCACAGCAUUUUUCAAUUUGAUCAAUUAAUCUUAGAUCUGAACCAAUGCUUUGUUCUUAAGCCUGCUGUCAUCGUACCAUGCAACAAUGAUAAUUUGUUGGGUUCUAUAAAAGGUUUAUUUCAAUCAGAAACAGAAGAAAAAUAAACCUACACUUGGACAAUUAAUUGAAGACAAGUAGCUAAGAUGUCAUUGGCCAUUGUCUGCCAUUAUGAUCCUCAUAUACUGCUUCCUACAAUUUUUUAGUAAAAUUAUUAAAGAAACUUGAACUAAUGUU